GACGAACGCUGGCGGCGUGCUUAACACAUGCAAGUCGAACGCCGUAGCAAUACGGAGUGGCAGACGGGUGAGUAACGCGUGGGAACAUACCCCUCGGUUCGGAAUAACUCAGGGAAACUUGAGCUAAUACCGGAUACGUCCGAGGUUUUAAUCGACCUUGGAGAAAGAUUUAUCGCCGGAGGAUUGGCCCGCGUCUGAUUAGCUUGUUGGUGAGGUAAUGGCUCACCAAGGCGACGACAGUAGCUGGUCUGAGAGGAUGAUCAGCCACAUUGGGACUGAGACACGGACCCAAACUCCUACGGGAGGCAGCAGGUGGGGAAUCUUGCGCAAUGGGCGAAAGCCUGACGCAGCGACGCCGCGUGA
rnacentral:rRNA from 1 species